AACUGCAGCUGAUAGUCGAUUUUCAGGGCCUAAAAAUAGCCCAGGCUGCGCGUGUGCCACAAUUUGGCUUUAUCGUUGAUUGAGCGUUAGCCUAUCAUUAGCUGGACAUUCGCUGGGUGCAUACUCCUAUGGGUGUGUGUGUGUGUGUGUGUGUGUUUGUGUGGAGUGCAAAACUUCAUUUAGGACGGGGGGACAAUGUAUUGCAUUUUGGGAGCGGGCCAGAAAGAGUUAUACAUUCAAUUGGCAGCCAUGCGUUUAACGGUGGGGCCAACACAUUCGAUAUGCCACUUAAUGGCCAAUCGAUUGCUUCAAAUGCCGAUUAGGCUUGGCGAUAGAGUAAAUAAUUUAGUUUGUUUUUAUAGCCGGUGGAUUGUUUAAUGCGACAGUUUAAGUGGGUUAGAGGUAUUUAAAUUGGGUUAAAGCUUCGAGGAGUAUGACAUUAGAGUGCUUGUUUAAUAAUCAUUACAUUCGAGUAAUACAUAUGUAUGUACAUAUGUGCUUCCGUUAAAGAGGGAAAGGGAAAAACAUACGUCCACAGUUUCCUUCUACGCUCAAGAGUGAGAGGGAUGGAUAGAUAAACACACAGCAGCAGCUUCAAUGUUGCAUAUUUUCCCAGAAAUAAAACUUAACACUUCACAUCUAAUGGGAGUUUCCCCAAGUUCAGAGUCAAACAAAUGUCGAUUCAGACUUCAAAUAUGUUAAAACUACAACAUAAAUAAAAAAAACGAGCUUGGGUUGUCUUCGGAGACAUGAUAGUACACGAACUGAUAAUAGAGUUGUCACCCAUUGCCUUGAAUAACAACAAUGCAAAGAAGACGACGAGAAAGAAUGAUCAAAAGAGAGAUGGAUAGCAACGGGAAGAUGCAGAGGAAAAGACAGACACCGCACAGUAUUCAACAGUGGAAUGGAGGAACAGACAUCAGACAGAUCUGACUCAUCCGCGAGUGUUUUGUAUUGUUUUCCACCCCAUUAAAAUUGUGUCUCUUUUUCCUUUGAGCAAUUAUUUGCGCGAUAAACGAAACUAAAUGUCUUUUAUAAUGUAAUUUGGUUAAUUUUUUGGCGUGUUUUUUUGCUUUGGUUUUCACGCAUCAAUGCCGUUUGGCUAUUUUGGGCUAGCGAUUCAUGCGAGAGGCAGAGACAGACGCAGCCACCGAUGGAAGUUCAGAGGUGAGAAAAGAAUUUGCGAGAGAGCGGGACAGAUUGACGGCGGUUCAGAGGUGACAACAACAGACUUUGUCUAGUGCGAGAUACCUCGUACCCCGCCCCACCCCUCAUGCAAAAGUUGAAUGGACUUUCGAUUUUUAAUGUUCGACGGAGACUUUUUUUAUGGCCACAUUUGGCAGCACAAAGUCAACAAUUUUGCGAGUACAUAAGCAGCGAAUCGAAUACACACAAACGUAUCCGGGAGUCUCUUCUUCUGAGAUUCCCUUGUUGGCGCGAACCCAUCCCAUCAAACUGGAGCGCAGAACCGAGAUCCAAAUUCGCCGGGAAGCGACCCGCUGACUGCCCCGCAGACAGAAUGUAAUUAAGUGGGAAUUUUUGCGUGAUUUUUAUACCCUUUGCUGGUGGGGGGCUAUGGCACUCACGACGGCUAAAGACAUCUCGACUACUCUAUAAAUGUGAACAUAUGAAAACUAAUCGAAGGACUGUACUGCAAGUGGGCCGGCACCCAAACCAACUCUUAGUUUACAUUCAUUUGCUCCGAAGUUAUAUAAUUCUGCAUAGAAAACGACCGCCCAAUGAGAGAACUAACAAAGACAGAGAGAGGAAGCCAUGAGGACGGAUAGAGAAGAGGAAGCCGGAGAAGACUGAGAAGAGACAGCAAGACAGACAGUGUCGGCUAAUUGUUUUCGCUCAGUGAAAUGGAAUGCCAAAUACACAAAUAG